AGAGUUGAUUAGAAACUUGGAGAAGUGAGUUUUUAUGAAAGGGUGAAAAUAUGAAAAGAAACAAGAAAAAGAAAUCACCCUUGAAACCAUAGAGCAAAGAAAAAGAAAAGAAAGAAAAAAAUAAAGAAAAGGCUCAUGGUUGUGUGGAUGUAAAAAAAAGAAAAAAGAUGAGAAAAGGAAAAAGACGGGGAUCAAAGAAAUGGAAAUUGUGUAGAGUUGAAUGUUUGGGAAUGCUCCCUUAGGAUAGGCAACUUUGUUGAAUUC
rnacentral:lncRNA from 1 species